rnacentral:rRNA from 1 species
GAGUUUGAUCCUGGCUCAGGACGAACGCUGGCGGCGUGCUUAACACAUGCAAGUCGGACGGUCGGUGCUGGAAGGUUCGCUGGAAGGCGCCGAUAGUGGCGGACGGGUGAGUAACGCGUGAGGACAUGGCAGCAGGAGGGGGAUAACGUUUGGAAACGGACGCUAAGACCCCAUAUGCCGGAGGGUGAAAGUGGCGGAAGCCAGCCUGUUGAGUGACUCGCGUCCUAUCAGCUAGUUGGCGGGGUGACGGCCCACCAAGGCGAUGACGGGUAGCCGACCUGAGAGGGUGGCCGGCCACACUGGAACUGAGAUACGGUCCAGACUCCUACGGGAGGCAGCAGUGGGGAAUAUUGGGCAAUGGGCGCAAGCCUGACCCAGCGACGCCGCGUGGGGGAAGAAGUCUUUCGGGACGUAAACCCAUGUUGUACGGGACGAAGGAAGUGACGGUACCGUACGAGGAAGCCCCGGCAAACUACGUGCCAGCAGCCGCGGUAAUACGUAGGGGGCGAGCGUUGUCCGGAAUCACUGGGCGUAAAGCGCACGUAGGCGGGCUGUUAAGUCGGCCGUGAAAGGCACGGGCUCCACCGGUGCAUGUCGGUCGAUACUGGCGGUCUGGAGUAUGGGAGAGGGGACUGGAAUUCCC